GAGGGUAUAGCUCAAGUGGUAGAAUGCGUGCUUAGCAUGCAUGAGGUCCUGGGUUCAAUCCCCAGUACCUCCA
rfam:Camelus ferus unplaced genomic scaffold scaffold985, whole genome shotgun sequence.